CGGUGAAGUGUUCGGAUCG
rnacentral:siRNA from 1 species